UGUGGUGAGGAGCGCUGCAACGGUUUAUUCCGUGAGGCUCAUCAUGAGCGGGUUUAGUUACAACGGCGCUCGUUCAUA
rnacentral:ncRNA from 2 species